UACGUAGGUGGCAAGCGUUGUCCGGAUUUACUGGGCGUAAAGAGCGCGCAGGCGGUCGAUCAAGUCGCGUGUGAAAGCCCCCGGCUCAACUGGGGAGGGUCACGCGAUACUGAUCGACUCGAAGGGCAGGAGAGGGUAGUGGAAUUCCCCGGUGUAGUGGUGAAAUGCGUAGAUAUCGGGAGGAACACCAGUGGCGAAGGCGACUACCUGGCCUGUUUCUUGACGCUGAGGCGCGAAAGCUAGGGGAGCAAACGGG
rnacentral:rRNA from 1 species